AAAUACAUAUUCCAAAAAAACUGUUGGUUGUUAUGUUUGUUUAUGGAUAAGAUCAUUCUUAUAUCAUUCUCUGUGUUACAAGAUUCUAUAAUUGCCUUCCAGAACAACACCGUACCCAGACAGAAUGGGAAGAUGGCUUCACGUUUAAGAUGUCCCUGUUCCAGUUUGUCAACAACUAUUCCUCCAUCCUCUAUAUUGCAUUCUUCAAGGGCAAAAAACUGAUGGUAUGGUUUAAGUCUCAGUCAGUGACUAAGGACCCCAACGAGGAGAAAGUGUACUCUAGGUGGGAACAGGACUUUCGUCUGGCCGACAUACCCAACCUUGUUUGACUGUUUGACGAAUAUCUUGAAAUGGUGAUCCAGUAUGGAUUUGUCACCGUUUCCGUGGCUGCUUUUCCAUUAGCCCCUGUGUUUGCUCUGAUCAACAACAUCUUUGAGAUCCGA